rnacentral:rRNA from 1 species
AUUGAACGCUGGCGGCAUGCCUUACACAUGCAAGUCGAACGGCAGCACGGGUGCUUGCACCUGGUGGCGAGUGGCGAAACGGGUGAGUAAUAUAUCGGAACGUACCUUAUCGUGGGGGAUAACGCAGCGAAAGCUGCGCUAAUACCGCAUACGCCCUGAGGGGGGAAANCGGGGGACCGUAAGGCCUCGCGCGAUUAGAGCGGCCGAUAUCUGAUUAGCUUGUUGGUGGGGUAAAAGCCCACCAAGGCGACGAUCAGUAGCUGGUCUGAGAGGACGAUCAGGCCACACUGGGACUGAGACACGGCCCAGACUCCUAC